rnacentral:lncRNA from 1 species
AUUAUGGUGUGUAUUUAUAGGUAGAGAGGAGCCUAAAUUAUGUGAUUCAAAGAGGAAAUCUGGGAUUUGCUCUUACGACAACCAUGAAUUUGAUAUCCAAUUGUAUGAUAAUUUGUUGCCUAGAUUGACGUUUGUUUCCUUUUUCUUGGAUUCUCAGUGAUUCUUCCACCAACAUAUAAAUAUAGCAAGAUUCUCUCUCCUUCAAAUCUCCUUCUGCUUCGGUCCCUUCUUAUUUGAAGGUGUUUACUUUUUUGUAGAAAUAAAGAAAAAGAGGAAAGUGAAAGAGUAGGAGAAUCAAGACGCGGAGAUAUGGAAGGAUAGGAAUUCUAAUCCUAUAUAAAUUUUCAAGUUGACUUAUCAAAUGAUUAAUUAACGAGUAGGGGAUUUUGCAUGGAUUUGUCCCAAGAUUACGGUUUGCUUCGUGAUGAGUCAAUGCGUGUGUGAGUUUCUCUUUAUUAUAUUACUGGUAAUUAGUCUGAUUUUGAAGAUUGGGAGGAUUGAUU